CCCGCCACUGUACCUGACCACUUCUCUGAUGGCUGGUGGAAUGCAGUGGUGGGCUGAAACUAAGGCCCAGUUUAAAAAACACAUUGUUAUUCUUCAUAUGGAUGACUCUGUGCUGAACGCAUGGGCACAACC
rnacentral:snoRNA from 1 species